rnacentral:rRNA from 1 species
AAGUCGUAACAAGGUUUCCGUAGGUGAACCUGCGGAAGGAUCAUUAACAAAACAAGUGGUGUGGAGCUGGAGAUGCAAGUCUCUGGCACCAGCCAACAACCUUUGUGAAUUGGGCGCGUUGCGGCUUCUGCAUGCAGCACGCUUAGAAGGGGCGUGGGAGAUUGAUGUGAUGAUGAGGUGAUAUUCAUUGGUUGCUGAAAAGUAAAGGUGGGCUUCACUCACACCACAUCGCAUCAUUUUAUUGUAGUCUGAUACUGUUGUUGUCGAAAGACGACUAUGCAAACUAAUACAACUUUUAACAAUGGAUCUCUUGGCUCUUGCACCGAUGAAGAACGCAGUGAAUUGCGAUAAGUAAUGUGACUUGCAAUCAUUUGUGAAUCAUCGAAUCUUUGAACGCACGUUGCACUUUGGGAGUCAAUCCCAAAGUAUACCUGUUUGAGUAUCAUAAACAUUUGUCCAAGCAAUUGGGAUUUGAGACCCGCUGUCUGUGGAUGGCGCUUCUUUAAAUGUAUUACGGGGCUGGCACUUGCUGCAUGCUGCUCGAGUGAGGAAGUUUGCAUCCGUGCAAAAUAUUCAUGAGAGGAGUGUGUGCCGAAGCGGAAGCGAGAGCGGAAGCAGAAGCGAAAAAGCAAGGUGCAUUGUUGCACCGAAACAUGGCCAUGAUGUCGUCGCUAACACGCUCAUCAUGCAGUCGCACAAAUGUGAUCUCAAAUCAGGCAAGACUACCCGCCGAACUUAA